UGCAAGUCGAACGCGAAAGGGACUUCGGUCCGUGAGUAAAGUGGCGCACGGGUGAGUAACGCGUAGAUAACCUGUCUUCAUGUCUGGAAUAAUACGCCGAAAGGGGUACUAAUACCGGAUAUUCUUGCUUUUCAUAAGUUAUGCAAGCAAAGGUGGCCUCUGCAUAUGCUACUGCAUGAAGAGGGGUCUGCGUACCAUUAGCUAGUAGGUGGGGUAAUGGCCUACCUAGGCGACGAUGGUUAGCGGGUCUGAGAGGAUGAUCCGCCACACUGGCACUGGAACACGGGCCAGACUCCUACGGGAGGCAGCAGUGAGGAAUAUUGCGCAAUGGGGGAAACCCUGACGCAGCGACGCCGCGUGAGUGAGGAAGGCCUUCGGGUCGUAAAGCUCUGUCAAGAGGAAAGAAGCGUACAAUGGCUAAUACCUGUUGUAUUUGACGGUACCUCUAAAGGAAGCACCGGCUAACUCCGUGCCAGCCGCCGC
rnacentral:rRNA from 1 species